AUCAUCAUUUUGUUGGCGCUGAUGUUGUUCUUGUGAGAUUCCAAUGAUACAGAAUCAAAUUAAAACAUACUGUGAGAUGUUGGAGGACAAUUAAAUGUUCUUUGAGUCACCGCUGGGGGAUUGGUUGCAAAUAUCUGCACAGCCCGGGUGGGGGGAGUUAGCUUCUCUGUGCAAAUAUAUCUCCUGAUGCAACUGAAGCUCGGAAACACACGGGUCUCCUCGGCGAGGCAUGUCCUCGGUUACACUGAGUUCGCCCCCGUCUCUGCGUUGCGCAAUGCGGCAAUGCGGCUCUACAGUCACAGCAGGCUGGCUGUUUGCUGGAGUGAAGGACAUCAAGGCACAAUCGCGGUCCACUUUAGAGUCAAAAAUGUUGGGCACCGCUGGCACUGUGCUGUGCAGCCUCGGAGACGCUGUAUAUAGACUCUGCCUUUGACUUUCAACGAUGAUGCCGAGAGCUGGAUAUGCGCUCUGGUUAUUUUCGCUCAGGUCCUUUGUUUGGCCUCAAAUCCUACAUCAAAGACUCACUGCCUGUGAAAAAAAUAGACAGAUCAUUUUAAGCAAAUAUGCGCCAGCACACGUCUGUGUCACAUGUCAUUGUCCCAGUUUAGUUUGUGUGCAGUCUAUUGUUGUACCGAUGACGACCGAGCCUCCUGCAGCUCCGAGUCUGGCGGGCCGAUUUGAUUUGAAGCGUGUCUGCUGCCAGACACAACGUGGAGACUGGUGCUCUCUCUCCCCCUCUCUCUGCCUCUCUCUCUCCCUCUGCACUUAGUUGUGUUUUGCUCGGUCGGACUAGCAAUGUGUGAGUCGCACACUUCAAACUAACGGGGUUGAGCAGACGCGGGAACACAGAGAGCAGCAGAUAGAGCGACUCGCAGUUUGGGAUGAGAACCUGUGCAAAGCCUCAUUUAUUGGAGAAGAAUCCAUGCAGACAAAGCAAGAAAAGGUGUCAGAGUCCAAAGCUGCUGUAUUUCCAGAAAACUCCGCUCCUCUUCUGAUUGGUGGAGCAGGGGAGGGAGGAGCCUGAGCCUUUCUGUCACUGUCAUGGCUCCACCUUUCCAGCUCAGUGUGUGAGGCUGCCAGCCAGCACAAGGAAAAAUAGGAGCGAAAUGAGAUGAGAGAAAAAUAGACAGACUGAGUGAGAGAGCAGCAGGUGGGAUGACAUAAUGUGCACUGCAGCAAAACUGCAGCGGCACUGAAACAAAGGGUCACAUUCCCACUAUAGCCAUGACACAGACACACAAAACUGACAUUUGUUGUGAGAUGUAUACUCUUUCUCACUCACAAACACACAUACUUUACUUGGUUCCCAACUUCCCAUUGUUGGGAAUUAUUGGAUUUCAGUCAGGAUUUAUUCUCCAGUAUUGAGCCCCACAAAGAAGAGCUUCUCUCUCUAAGCCUCUCUAA